rnacentral:miRNA from 5 species
AGACCUGUAGAUACAAGCUUGU